rnacentral:rRNA from 1 species
AUUGAACGCUGGCGGAAUGCUUUACACAUGCAAGUCGAGCGGCAGCGCGGCCUUCGGGCUGGCGGCGAGCGGCGAACGGGUGAGUAAUGCAUCGGAACAUGCCCAGUCGUGGGGGAUAACACUUCGAAAGAAGUGCUAAUACCGCAUACGUCCUGAGGGGGAAAGCGGGGGAUCGCAAGACCUCGCGCGAUUGGAGUGGCCGAUGUCAGAUUAGCUAGUUGGUGGGGUAAAGGCCUACCAAGGCGACGAUCUGUAGCUGGUCUGAGAGGUUGAUCAGCCACACUGGGACUGAGACACGGCCCAGACUCCUACGGGAGGCAGCAGUGAGGAAUUUUGGACAAUGGGGGCAACCCUGAUCCAGCCAUUCCGCGUGAGUGAAGAAGGCCUUCGGGUUGUAAAGCUCUUUCGGCAGGAACGAAACGGUGGGCUCUAACAUAGUCCGCUAAUGACGGUACCUGAAGAAGAAGCACCGGCUAACUACGUG